rnacentral:rRNA from 1 species
GACGGUAAGGAACGCAGGCUAGGGUAGCAAACCGGAUUAGAUACCCGGGUUAGUCCUAGCUGUAAACAUUGCCCAUUUGAUGUUGCUUUCCCGUUGAGGGAAGGCAGUGUCGGAGCGAAGGUGUUAAAUGGGCCGCUUGGGAAGUAUGGUCGCAAGACUGAAACUUAAAGGAAGUGGCGGGGGAGCACCGCAACGGGAGGAAUGUGCGGUUUAAUUGGAUUCUACGCCGGAAAACUCACCGGGAACGACCUGUGCAUGAGAGUCAACUUGACGAGCUUACUCGAUAGCAGGAGAGGUGGUGCAUGGCCGUCGUCAGCUCGUACCGUAGGGCGUUCACUUAAGUGUGAUAACGAGCGAGACCCACAUCUUUAAUUGCAAAUGUAUAUGGGAAUAUGCAUGCACUCUAGAGAAACCGCCAGCGCUAAGCUGGAGGAAGGAGUGGUCGACGGCAGGUCAGUACGCCCCGAAUUUCCCGGGCUACACGCGCAUUACAAAGAACGGGACAAUACGUUGCAACCUCGAAAGAGGGAGCCAAUCGCG